GGGUGGACCUCAUCGGACCCUUCAUGAAAUCCAGGAAUGGCAACAGCUGGUGUCUGACGAGGACCGAUUUACUUUAUGAAGUGAGUGGAGGCAAUACUCAUUAAGGACAAGACUGGCGAGGCCACCUUCAAGGUGAUGGACAUCUUCAACACCCACGAUUCUCCUGAGGUCAUCUUGAGUGACUGAGGUCAUGAACUCUGGAACCAGAUUGCCCUGUCCUACCCCCUCCUCCAGGUUUGGAUGAACAGACCCUCAAGACUGCCAUGGGCAAGUCCCUUGACGUUUACCAGGAAUGGUAGGAGGACAACCGGAAGGUAAUUCUCUUUGCACACAACAGCAGCAUCCAGGCCUCCAGAUUACUCACCCGUACGUACUGGUUUUAGGUCCAAGCUUUGAUGGACCUGUACUGACGUCGCCUUCUGGAUGGUAGCGGGGUGAACAGGCAGUGGCUCGGGUGGUUGUUGUCUUUGAAGACCUUUUUGGUCUUCCUGUGACAUCGGGUGCUGUAGGUGUCCUGGAGGGCAGGUAGUUUUCCCCUGGUGAUGCAUAGUGCAGACCUCACCAUCUUCUGAAGAGCCUUGC